UAUUGGACAAUGGGGGCAACCCUGAUCUAGCCAUGCCGCGUGUGUGAAGAAGGUCUUCGGAUUGUAAAGCACUUUAAGUUGGGAGGAAGGGCUUUAGGCUAAUACCCUGAAGUUUUGACGUUCCCACCAGAAGAAGCCCCGGCUAACUCUGUGCCCGCAGCCGCGGUACUCAAGAGGGUGCAAGCGUUAAUCGGAAUUACUGGGCGUAAAGCGCGCGUAGGUGGUUCAGUAAGAUGGGUGUGAAAUCCCCGGGCUUAACCUGGGAACUGCUUUCAUAACUGCUGAGCUAGAGUACGGUAGAGGGUAGUGGAAGUUCCUGUGUAGCGGUGAAAUGCGUAGAUAUAGGAAGGAACACCAGUGGCGAAGGCGACUACCUGGACUGAUACUGACACUGAGGUGCGAAAGCGUGGGGAGCAAACA
rnacentral:rRNA from 1 species